UUUUUUUCAAUUUAUGCAUUUAUAAGCUUUCAUCUUCUGUCAUUUUUCAUCAGUUGUUUUGGAAAUGUACUAAUCUUUUGUCAGUUUCUAUAUUUGACAGGUCUCCAUGGAGGGAUGAACAGAUGGUGGACAGACACUAGCUGAAGAGGAGACCAAUGCGAGGAUCCAGGAUACAGGGUAUCUACCAGACCUACAGGCCAUCAUUGGCCAAAAAGAAUCAUGGUUAUCAAGUUCUAUCCCACCUUGGAGUAGCAACCCCCAUUAUUCAUCAAGAGGAAUGUAGAGAGGAAGGAUCAGCUGCUGCCAAUCAUAGAAGAAUGGAUUCAGUGACAGACAGUCCCCUAUCUGCAGAAUAGGAAGAGUGCAUCACCGGCCUACAGGUACAGAGAGCCUGAAAUGACUGCGACCAGCCCUGCAGAUGACAGCAGAUGGUUAAGUGACCUGAAUUCCAUGUUCAAGAGCAUACAGACUGUCAUACAAUAACCAGAGGUUAAGGAUAGAUAGGUGCCUAAC